UACGUAGGGUGCGAGCGUUAAUCGGAAUUACUGGGCGUAAAGCGUGCGCAGGCGGUCUGUUAAGACCGAUGUGAAAUCCCCGGGCUCAACCUGGGAACUGCAUUUGUGACUGCAUCGCUGGAGUGCGGCAGAGGGGGAUGGAAUUCCGCGUGUAGCAGUGAAAUGCGUAGAUAUGCGGAGGAACACCGAUGGCGAAGGCAAUCCCCUGGGCCUGCACUGACGCUCAUGCACGAAAGCGUGGGGAGCAAACAGG
rnacentral:rRNA from 1 species